GGAUUCCCCUAGUAACUGCGAGUGAAGCGGGAAAAGCUCAAAUUUAAAAUCUGGCGGUCUUCGAUCGUCCGAGUUGUAGUCUGGAGAAGCGUCUUCCGCGCUGGACCGUGUACAAGUCUCUUGGAACAGAGCGUCGUAGAGGGUGAGAAUCCCGUCUUUGACACGGACUACCAGUGCUUUGUGAUGCGCUCUCAAAGAGUCGAGUUGUUUGGGAAUGCAGCUCAAAAUGGGUGGUAAAUUCCAUCUAAAGCUAAAUAUUGGCGAGAGACCGAUAGCGAACAAGUACCGUGAGGGAAAGAUGAAAAGCACUUUGGAAAGAGAGUUAAACAGUACGUGAAAUUGCUGAAAGGGAAACGAUUGAAGUCAGUCGCGUCGUCUAGAACUCAACCUGGCCUCGGCUCGGUGCAUUUUCUAGUUGACGGGCCAGCAUCAGUUUCGACCGUUGGAAAAAGGUCCUUGGAAUGUGGCACCUUCGGGUGUGUUAUAGCCUUGGGUCGUAUACGACGGUUGGGACUGAGGACCGCAGCACGCCUUUAUGGCCGGGGUUCGCCCACGUACGUGCUUAGGAUGCUGGCGUAAUGGCUUUAAACGACCCGUCUUGAAACACGGACCAAGGAGUCUAACAUGCCUGCGAGUGUUUGGGUGGUAAACCCGAGCGCGUAACGAAAGUGAAAGUUGGGAUCCCUGUCGUGGGGAGCACCGACGCCCACACCAGACCUUCUGUGACGGAUGUGCGGUUGAGCAUGUAUGUUGGGACCCGAAAGAUGGUGAACUAUGCCUGAAUAGGGUGAAGCCAGAGGAAACUCUGGUGGAGGCUCGUAGCGAUUCUGACGUGCAAAUCGAUCGUCAAAUUUGGGUAUAGGGGCGAAAGACUAAUCG
rnacentral:rRNA from 1 species